rnacentral:rRNA from 1 species
UACAGAGGUCUCAAGCGUUGUUCGGAUUCAUUUGGGCGUAAAGGGUGCGUAGGCGGCGCGGUAAGUCGGGUGUGAAAUCUCGGAGCUUAACUCCGAAACUGCAUUCGAUACUGCCGUGCUUGAGGGACUGGAGAGGAGACUGGAAUUUACGGUGUAGCGGUGAAAUGCGUAGAUAUCGUAAGGGAAGACCAGUGGCGAAGGCGGGUCUCUGGA